AUUGAACGCUGGCGGCAGGCCUAACACAUGCAAGUCGAACGGCAACAGAAAGAGAGUUUCUUCUUUGCUGACGAGAGUCGGACGGGUGUGUGAUGUCUGGCGAACUGCCUUUUUUCGUGGGAUAACUACUGGAAACGCUAGCGAAUACCGCAUAAUCUCCCUACACCAGAGAGGGGGACCUUCUCGCCUCUUGCCAUCUUGAAUGCGCAGAUGGGAUUUGCUAGUGGGUGGGGUAACGGCGCACCUAGGCGACGAUCCCUAGCUGGUCUGAGAGGAUGACCAGCCACACUGGAACUGAGACACGGUCCAGACUCCUACGGGAGGCAGCAGUGGGGAAUAUUGGACAAUGGGCGCAAGCCUGAUGCAGCCAUGCCGCGUGUAUGAAGAAGGCCUUCGGGUUGUAAAGCACUUUUAGUGGGGAAGAAGGGCAGCAGGUUAAUACCCCUGUUCUCUGACGUUACCCGAAGAAGAAGCACCGGCUAACUUCGUG
rnacentral:rRNA from 1 species